rnacentral:rRNA from 1 species
AAUCCUGGCUCAGGAUGAACGCUAGCUACAGGCUUAACACAUGCAAGUCGAGGGGCAGCAUGAACUUAGCUUGCUAAGUUUGAUGGCGACCGGCGCACGGGUGAGUAACACGUAUCCAACCUGCCGAUAACUCGGGGAUAGCCUUUCGAAAGAAAGAUUAAUACCCGAUGGCAUAGUUCUUCCGCAUGGUAGAACUAUUAAAGAAUUUCGGUCAUCGAUGGGGAUGCGUUCCAUUAGGUUGUUGGCGGGG